AUUGAACGCUGGCGGCAUGCCUUACACAUGCAAGUCGAACGGCAGCAUGAUCUAGCUUGCUAGAUUGAUGGCGAGUGGCGAACGGGUGAGUAAUACAUCGGAACGUGCCCUGUAGUGGGGGAUAACUAGUCGAAAGAUUAGCUAAUACCGCAUACGACCUGAGGGUGAAAGCGGGGGACCGCAAGGCCUCAUGCUAUAGGGGCGGCCGAUGUCUGAUUAGCUAGUUGGUGAGGUAAAGGCUCACCAAGGCGACGAUCAGUAGCUGGUCUGAGAGGACGAUCAGCCACACUGGGACUGGGACACGGCCCAGACUCCUACGGGAGGCAGCAGUGGGGAAUUUUGGACAAUGGGGGCAACCCUGAUCCAGCAAUGCCGCGUGUGUGAAGAAGGCCUUCGGGUUGUAAAGCACUUUUGUCCGGAAAGAAAUCGCACUUACUAAUAUUAGGUGUGGAUGACGGUACCGGAAGAAUAAGGACCGGCUAACUACGUGCCAGCCGCCGCGGUAACAC
rnacentral:rRNA from 1 species